UUGAUUUUCAAGGAAUCAAGCCAUUAAAGGUGGUGAGCAUUCUGGCAAGAGUAAAGAGGUAGUAUCCGAGGAUCAAGAAUCAGAGUAUCUCGAAUUCGAUUCCCAUUACAGCUCAGGAUAGUCGGUAGA
rnacentral:sRNA from 1 species